CUCCACAGCCCUGGUAAAAAUGAACCUCAACUUACUUAAUAACUGCUUUGCCAAAAAUUAAUAAUAUCCGCGUUUAUUUAUUAUUGAUAGCCUUCAAAACACAACUCUUUCUCUAAGUAUUGAUAUUAAAGAAAUUAAUUAAAAAAUAAAUUGCUAUGGCUCUGCGUUGGUAAAUUAAUUGUAUAAAUGCUCAUGUUCAUAAAAAACAAAAAAAUUAGCUAGAUAAAGAACAAAGAAAUGACAAAUAAGUAAACUUUGUUUGCUAUGACAUCUUCUUUUCCUGAUAAUUAUUGGUAUUGUCUUGAAAAAGAACAUGGUUAAAACAAGAUGUGGGGGUUGUAGAUCAUUACCAAGAUUUCACCAGAUGUCGGCUGGAAAGAUUGCUUUUGUAAUAGAGGCUACAAUAUAUUAUAAUACAACUAAUCUUCAUGAUGGUGUAACUCCUUCUGGUAGUAGUACUCUUGACAUUUGUCAAAUUAAACAGCUACCAACAAUUGAUAAUUCUUUAACUCGUGUCAAUUGUUCUAAUCAAUCCAUUGAUCAAACAGUCACAGUUAAAAAAACACGGUAAAUUUCCUGAAAUGGAGUGAAGAAAAUAUGGUAAGUACAAUUAAGCAUGUCAGAUCAGAGCCAUCAUUUUCAGUGCGUAAAGCAGCAAUAUUGUACAACGUGCCAGGUACAACACCGAGAGACAGACUUUUUGAAAAAAUUGUUAUUAGAGCAAAAUUAGAAAGAGUAUAUGUAUAUAUA